UGAUUCACUUUCACAUUUGAUUUUUGUUAAUCCUUAUACCCUUUUUCCUUGCCUCUUCAUUUCAUCUGUUACUAUCAAGUUUCUGCCGAUAAUAUCAGAGGAAAGGGAUAAUUGAACUGAUUACUUUUAGGAAAUAACAUGUACCCUUCUUAUAAUUGCAUGUCUUCUUUAUGACUUAAUCAUGUUAUUUUUUCGACAGAGAUAAUGUUGAGAGUUUUCUCUGUGAGUUUAUCUCUCUGUUAUGCUAAAAUUUAGAAACCUACAACUUCUUUUUGACAAUUUCAUGCAGGGGUUUAUUUGUGGUGAUUCAUCAGAGACCUUCCUUUUUAUACCCGUUGUUAUUCUCUUUCCGCUUCAAUCAUAUAUGGGCUGAGAUGCACAUUUCAUGGGAGGUGUAGGGGAAAAUGAACCAGCCUCAAAACGCAUGAAACUAUCCUCUGAAGAAUUGAGACAUCUUUCAAACGGUUCAACUCUUAAAGAGCCUAUGAAGGGGGUGAAGAAGUUGUUGGCUCAAAAGGAUAUUUUUUACAAUGGAUUAAUAUUUGGUAUGGCAGUGUAAAUUUUUAACUCCUCAAGCGGGGUUAAUACACUGCCAAGUGUUCUCUUUUCACUUUUUAUUUUAUUAAAUGUAAUUCAAGGACACUGUUACAAUAUAUAAGCUGGAAAUUUGAUUC